UGUGUUGACCAAAAAGUUUGUUUGGGUUUUUCCGAAUGAUCUUAUGGAACACUCAAAUGAACUUUUUGGCCAAAC
rnacentral:miRNA from 1 species